CCUACGGGAGGCAGCAGUGAGGAAUAUUGGUCAAUGGACGGAAGUCUGAACCAGCCAAGCCGCGUGCGGGAGGACGGUUCUGUGAAUCGUAAACCUCUUUUGUACGGGAAUAAACUCUGGUACGCGUCCUAUUUUGUAUGUACCUUAUGAAUAAGGAUCGGCUAACUCCGUGCCAGCAGCCGCGGUAAUACGGAGGAUCCGAGCGUUAUCCGGAUUUAUUGGGUUUAAAGGGUGCGUAGGCGGUCGUUUAAGUCAGCGGUGAAAGUCCGUGGCUCAACCAGCGAAUUGCCGUUGAAACUGGUGGGCUCGAGAAUGGUUGAGGCAGGCGGAAUGCGUGGUGUAGCGGUGAAAUGCUUAGAUAUCACGCAGAACACCGAUUGCGAAGGCAGCCUGCCAAGCCAUGACUGACGCUGAGGCACGAAAGCGUGGGGAUCAAACAGGAUUAGAUACCCGAGUAGUC
rnacentral:rRNA from 1 species